ACACACUGGGGCUGUUUAUGUAUACAGCUGUCUCUACAACUUGUCUCAGUUUUAGCAGGUUCAUGGUCCAACUGGAAUUAUGAAAAAGAGUGUCUCAAUAAAUUAGAAUGAAGAAUGGAAGAGAAGUCAAUCAUUGAUUUCUCCAACCGUCACCAGUGGAAACUAAAGGAGAUGUUUCCCAUCAUCCAACACUAUGGAGAUGUGCUGGUGAAAAAUAUGAAUCUUCAACUAGAGAAAGGCAAGCCCGUUACCAUGAGA